CCUCCCAUCGGACAAAGAAAGAAAUACCAAUAAAUCCGUCAGACAACUAGCUGGCAGGCCCCUCAGCAUACUGCUUUCGGUGCUACUUGACUAUGAGUGUGAAUGUGUGAGAAUUAGCUUAAGGCGAUCAACUAACCCCCCCCCCUCUCUAUCCCAGGCGUUUCUCCCCUCAGUGUGUGAGCUGUAACGAGCCCAUCGUCCCCUCCCCGGGCAGCGAGGAGACGGUCAGAGUGGUGGCUCUGGACAAGAACUUCCACCUGAAGUGUUACCGUUGUGAGGAUUGUGCCCGCCCUCUCUCCAUAGAAGCCGAUGAAAAUGGCUGCUACCCAUUGGAUGGCAAGAUCCUGUGUAUGAAGUGCCACACCCAGCGAGCCAAGCAAGCUGCGCAGUGAUUGGCUGAAGCGGCGUUACUCUCCGAUUUAACUAUGAACCAAAAUCCAAAAGCACAGGAUUCAUCCAGCGGCCCUUUUGCCUUGGCAGCAGUCAUUCAGUGUACAUGUGCAGGUGUGUGUGUGUGUGUGUGUAUGUGUGUGUGGAGCAGUGUGUCUGCAUGCAGAUCCAGAGUAGUAUUCCCCUCGUCUUUGUUCUCUUCAGUGCAGAAGUAAUGUACUGCAUUGAUUUCCAUCUUUUAUCCCCGAACUCAUCUAGCCCUCUUUGUGUACAACCACAUAUUUUUUGUGCAUAUUCCUUGUUUACGCUAAACGUUUCCAGCAUAACUUGCACAAGAACAGUCAAAAGAGCAGUCUGAUGAAUAUAAAGUUGCCUUCUCGCGCCUCCAUAUUGUAAGUAGCAACAAGAAAUUGCCAUUUGAAGCGUUCACUGGGCGGUCUCUGUCCCUGUGAGCAUGGUAACGAAGACGCUUUGUUACCAUAGGCUGAGAAGUGACACAUUUGACCACACAGAUUUCACCACUCCGAUUGGCUGCUGGUUGAGAAUAUCUUUAACAUGUUGGUAGUUUUUGUGCCUGCACGCGUGCUUAAUGAUGCUUUCCUGCAUAGAGAGUGCUUCAUGUCAGCCAAUCUACUCCGACAGCAUCUUAAAGACGUCUAGGGCUAAUCAUUAACUGCAAAAAAAAACAGGGAUUGUUGCUCUUAGUUUGUGAAUUUAAUCAUUUACAGGCAUGCGUUUUCACUGUCUCGUAGCUUUCUCUCCUUCAAUCAUACACACAGUAAAAGGGCAAGAUCAGAACAAAAACGAGUCCCUUGAGUAUUUUUACAUGCAUGCUUUUUGAAUGCACAAUUAU